UACGUAGGGGGCUAGCGUUGUCCGGAAUCAUUGGGCGUAAAGAGCGUGUAGGCGGCUCGGUAAGUCCGCUGUGAAAGUCGGGGGCUCAACCCUCGAAUGCCGGUGGAUACUGUCGAGCUAGAGUGCGGAAGAGGCGAGUGGAAUUCCUGGUGUAGCGGUGAAAUGCGCAGAUAUCAGGAGGAACACCGAUUGCGAAGGCAGCUUACUACGCGAUAAUUGACGCUGAGGCACGAAAGCGUGGGGAUCCAACAGG
rnacentral:rRNA from 1 species